CCUACGGGAGGCAGCAGUGAGGAAUAUUGGUCAAUGGGCGGAAGCCUGAACCAGCCAAGUCGCGUGAGGGAAUAAGGCCCUACGGGUCGUAAACCUCUUUUGCCGGGGAGCAAGGGCCGGGACGAGUCCCUGUCCGGAUAGUACCCGUAGAACAAGCAUCGGCUAACUCCGUGCCAGCAGCCGCGGUCAUACGGAGGAUGCGAGCGUUAUCCGGAUUUAUUGGGUUUAAAGGGAGCGUAGAUGGGGUGUUAAGUCAGUUGUGAAAGUUUGCGGCUCAACCGUAAAAGUGCAAUUGAUACUGGCAGUCUGGAGUACAGUUGAGGUAGGCGGAAUUCGUGGUGUAGCGGUGAAAUGCUUAGAUAUCACGAAGAACUCCGAUUGCGAAGGCAGCUUACUAAACUGCCACUGACAUUGAUGCUCGAAAGUGUGGGUAUCAAACAGGAUUAGAUACCCCAGUAGUC
rnacentral:rRNA from 1 species